CUGAUGAGUCAGUUCAAGUUUUAUGUUUUAAUUCCUUAUAUGUAAUCAUUUCUGCAUAAAUGAUGCUUAUUUCACUGUGUAGUACAGUUUCUACAUGAGUUCAAUGUCUCUUGACGCAUUUCAUUAUCUAUAGUAUGUUUUAAAUCAUGUUUGUUGAGGAUUUAUUAAAUACACAAUGAGAUUCUCUUUUUUGGUAUCUCUGAUCAACUUCUCUUACUAAUAUUCUUGUUUCAAGAUGUGGGCAGUGUAUGUUACACAUACUCAAGUCAUCUGAUGUAUCUAUAAAGUGGCUUUUAAUUUAUGUGUUUUUUUUUCAAAAUUCUCUCUGGUUGCACCUAGAGCAGCAUAUGGCAGUAAAGUACAAAAAACUAUUUUUUAUUAUUAUUAUUGCUAAGAGUACAGGGCCAGAUUCUGUCUUGGUUACAUGAAGGUAUAAUUAAGGGCAGAAAUUUGUCCCACAAGUAUUUUGGCCCCACUUAAGUUCUACUUAUUACAGACCCUUAGGUCCUGAUUCAGCAAAUAUGAUGAGAGGAGCAGCAAUGGGCUUAAGCACAUGCUUACAUGUUUUGUAGUAUCCGGGCCUUAUACAGGAUAUAAAUGGCACAUAGAGUCUUUUGUAGGCUCACUGCUCUGGUGGGAAUUUCACCUAAAGGUUGAAGAUAGUUCCCAAAUAAAUAGGACCCUACCAAAUUCAUGGUCCAUUUUGAUCAAUUUCAUGGCCAGAGGGUUUUAAAAUUGGUCAGUUUCACAUUUUUAGAGGUUUACAUCUGAAAUUUCACACCAUUGUAACCGUGGGGGUCCCACCCAAAAGUGCAUCGCGGGGGGUCACAAAGCUGAUGUAGGAGUGUUGUGGGAUUGCUUCACUUCUGCACUGCCUUCAGAGCUGGGCUCCGAAGGCAGCAGCCACAAAACUUCCCCGCAGCCAGGGGAGAUUCAAGGAGGUGGAGGUGGGUCUGAUCUCCCCCAUGCUGCUGGGAGCCUUCAGAGCUGGCAGCAUCCAUGGAGCUUCCUGCAGUCAGGGAAGAUACCCAGAGGUGGGUCUGAGCUCCCCCUCAGGAGCAGCCCUGCAGGGGAAGAGGAAGCCCUGUCUCUCCCCAGCCCCGUCAGGACUAGCAGCUGGAGCCCAGUGAAUAGUAGGAAUAUCCAGCUGGGGUGUCCCCAGCCCUGCCCCUCCAACAGCUAGAUUUCACAGGGGAGAUCUGAUUUCACGGUUCGUGACGUGUUUUUUGUGGCCGUGAAUUUGGCAGGGCCUUACAAAUAAAGGAUAGACGCAAGCUGGCCUGUCCUCAGGGGCAUGCGCAAAAACUUAAAUUUGAUGGCUUUUGGAAGGACAUUUCUGUGCCAGGGCCAGAGGAGCUCGCUCUCACUGCCAGAGCCCCAGGGUCUCUGCCAAUUAUUGGGGCAAGGAUGUCCAUGCCCCUGCAUUCUACCCUCUUGUGCACCCCCCUGCCUGUCAUGAACUUAACUCAAGAGGCAAGGCAUACUUAUCCAGUAGAGUUGUUUUCUACAAUCAAAAAACAAUUCAAAGGAAUAGUGUAAAGAUCACAUAUAAUAUUUCUGGAAGUAACGUGCAGUUGUCUGUCCUGGCUUCUAGUUCUCAGAGAAUGCAUGGAGACGUGAGCAUCCUGUUCUUCUCAUGGGAUCUCUGUGUGUCAGGUGUCAGAUGCAUGCUGUUGAGGACUGAAGUGUGAAUGAGUUGAAGUUUAACAUGUACUUACAGACACCUGAAGGAAUUCACAGUGACCUAGGUUAUCUGUUUUGUUAGAUGCUGCCUUACUCAGUCUUAUUCAAGAGGAAAACGUGGUUAAAUAAUAUUGGGAAUAUGACUGAAGUUCCGGGAAGUUCAUAGACUUGGAUUUUAAAGCCACCUGAGGGCUUUGGAAGCCUUAUUUACCAUUAACUUUAAGGAGAACGGCAUCCAGAUAUCCUGGGAAAAUCUCAGCCCCUAUGUAUUGGAGGCUGAAAAAGGCUGCAGAAAGAAUCAGCCUCACCAUUGAAUUGUCAGCAUUAAGACCUGUGUGGUGCAUGAGUUAAAAGUCAAAUAUGUAUAAAUGUUAUUGUUGGUGGCAUAUUAUUUAGUAGAUUGAUAUGAUUCCUUUGGAGAUUUCUUUUGCAUCAGACAGGGCCUGAUCCAAAGGCCUCGGAGGCAGUCUUUGCAUUGGCUGACUGGAUUUUGGAUCAGGCCCAUAUUUAUGCGCUUGUAUUUGAAUUUGGAAGUACAAUGCUCCAAUAGCACUAUGGUAGCAGCUUUUCUUACACUUCCGGUGGCCAUCACACAGACUUUAGGAAGCUGAGAGAGCAGCAUUUCGGCCAAUCCUCUGAGAAGUCCCAGUCAAUGUUAUGGUCCUGAGGCACUAUUCCUAGGGCACUGUCAGUGUAGAGCCAUCUAAAGACAUGUUUAAGUCAUUACUUGUGAUUAUUUUAUUUAAUGAAGGAGUGGGAUCCGUUUAGGGGUUGUGGGGAGCUCACCAUUUGCAGGCUCCAGGGGUUUGAGGAAGCCAGUUGGGAGGGAAAGCAUGACCUCUUUCCAAUAUAGAUAGCUGAUGGAGUGGGUGGACCAGUUCAGGAGGGCAAGAGGCAUCUGCAGUGGGAUUGUGAUGCUAUGUGAUGACAUUCUUAUGGCUCUGCACUGACAUUUUGCAAAAACCAGUUUUUUUACAUACAGGGCAGCUUAUUUUUUAAAGGGCAAUAGUCCAGGGUCUUCCAUAUCACCUUCCAAAAAAAUCCCAACAACCUACUAGAAGAGAUUACAAAUAUUUAACUACCUUAUGGGCUCAUUUUUUGACAUGUUUGUUUGAUUGUUUUUUUAUACUGAAACUAUUUUUGAGUUAUACCUGGGCAAAAAAGCUUCUGAUAAAAGUCAACUUUUACACUUCUGAUCAUUAUAAAUAUGAAUAUAACAAAUAUGAUAUUUCCACCAUUUAUGCUGUUUAUUUUUUGCACUUGACCUGCUUAGACUGUGCAGUUAGACCAGGUUGUAUAUAACGAGUUUUACUUCAUGGUCAGAGUUCAUUUCACUUUGGCUUUUCAUGCACAAGCAAAGGUUACUUAUAGGUAUUUCUGUGGUGAUGAUUAUUAAUGUAUCUACAUAAGAACGGCCAUACUGGGUCAGACCAAAAGUCCAUCUAGCCCAGUAUCCUGUCUUCCGACAGUAGCCAAUUCCAGGUGCCCCAGAGAGAAUGAACAGAACAGGUAAUCACCAAGUGAUCUAUCCCUUGUCACCCAUUCCCAGCUUCUGGCAAACAGAAGCUAGGGACACCAUCCCUGCCCAUCCUGGCUAAUAGCCAUUGAUGGACCUAUCCUCCAUGAACUUAUCUAGUUCUUUUUUGAACUCUCUUACAGUCUUGAUCUUCACAACACGGAUUUCAAUGGGAGCUAAAUGCCUAAAUAGCUUUUAGGGAUCUGGGCCUGAGUGUUUAUAUGGUUGCUUUGGGCUUUUGAUCACUGGAGAGGAACUUUUAAAUUGCUAAAAAAUAUUUUAAUUUUUUUUUUAUUUCAUGGAAUAUUUCUUUAUUCACUUUGAGUGAAAUUCAUCUCCAGGCAGAAGGCCUGUCCACUAUUUAAUUCCUCAAAUUAGGGCUGAAUUGAAAAGUAAACAGUGCACAGGUCUCUCUUUGGGGCCCUGUGUAUAGGAUGAAUUUCACUGAUUACAUUUUGGUCAUUCUCCAAGACCUAAACUUGCCUUCUAACUGACCUGAUAUUGUCCCUUAAAGCUUUACAUCAUGGAAAUCAAGAUCACAGAACAGAAACACACGUGGUUAUGAGGGUAAGCCAUGUCACUUUCCUCCAGAUGUCUGUUUUUCCUCGCAGAGUUCUGUAUAGCACAGGAGGAAACGGUUGAAGUGGGGUGCAGCAGUACAUCACUAUGGAACAUCUCUGUACAAUGAUAUUAUCAUCUUGCAACAUGGUCAUCGCGUAUUGGAUGAUAGCUCAUUAUUGAAAAAUGUCUCCCCAUAGGAAGCAGUCUAGGGGCUUUCAACUAGGAAUUUCUGACACCCCCUACCGCACCAGUUGCUAUUUCUGAACUAAUUCUCUCACUCUGGGCCUCCACGUUUCAAUGAGGACCCAGAUAAAAAUAUUUCUCUUCCCCUGGGGGAGGCAUUACAAGGCACUGUUGAAGCCUUUACGCCUCAUUCCCUGGUAAGUGAAUUUUAGCAUGUGUUGUGUAGUUAAUUUUAGAAAAGGUAAUGUCUACUAUAUGUAGUUAAUAAUUUGUAGCAAAUACUCUCCCAAAUAACUUUGUGUGUAUGUUACUUAUGUAGUGAUAAUUUAGGACUAUGCUGUAGGACUUGAAAUGUAUGUAAAUAAAGAAUCGACACUUCAUGAGAAGAUACAAUUAUAAAUAUUGGUCCUGUUUCUGCCACCCUUAUUUACCUUCAUUGUACCUAUCUGUGUGGGUAGUCUAUUUGCUAUUAAACAUAAAGACUGCUUAUGUACAUCAUACACAGUUAUGGGUAAGGCAUGUAGAAUCUGGGACAUUUAUCAGCAAUAGGGUAGUCCUUUUUCUUGAUUUUAUUUUUUCAAUUAAUUUUCUUUUUAAACAGGCCAACUGGAUCUAGAAAAAAGGAGAAUAAAUGUCAGUACUUAUGCUUUCUCGUCAUGGCAGAAAUUGUGCCUCAGGAAGACAAACUGAAUCAUCAGGCAUGGAACCUACAGUCUGAAGUGAAGGACAGUACUCCUAAAUAAAGAGAGAAGAGGAUCCAGAGUCAUUUUCCUUUAAACAUUACUUUAAAAAAACACAAUUAGUUACUUUUCUUAAAAUAAAAUACUUUGGUUACAUGCUUUAUUGCGCAUUUAUUCCCGAGUUAUGUACCUAGUGUGUAUGAUGCAUGCCUGUGGCUGUUUGAUUGCAUGUAUGUUGAUACUGUGAUAUAUUGUGGAUGCGCUGCGUGUGUGGCAUGAUAUUGUACUGCAAUAUGAUAGACCUGUCAAUGUAUGAUAGUAUUCUGUACCAGCUGAGCUCAUGAAGCUUCUCAUCUGGCUUAUGUAGCAGAAGCCUGUGUUUCAGUGGUAUCUAAUGCAUAUGUGUAAAUCUGGAUUGUGACGAAUAUCUGUUUAAAGCACUGGAUCUUCACAGUGUUCCCUGAAGCCUAAGGGAAUUGUAUUAUGGAAUAUUUCUGUAGCAUUGCCUAAGAAGGGCUUGAUUCUGCAAGGUGCUAAGCAAUCUGUGGAGGUGCUGAGUGCCUUCAGCUCUCUCUGACUUCAGCAUGUUGCAGAUUUAGGCCCCCUGGCCCUGAUUCAUCAAGGCUUUCAUGCAUAAUGCUAAGCAUGUGAGUUGUCCCAUGGACUUUCAUGAAUGUGUGUAACAGUGUUGUUAAAUUGUACACUCUUAUGUGGCUCUUAUGUUUUAGAAACACAUUUAUAAGAACAUUGCAAUCAGUAGGUUGUAUACAUAGCUAAUUCCUUGCUAAAAAUGUACCAGGGGAGGAUGAAAUGCUGGCUCCAUUGCAGUCAAUGGCAAAAUUCCCACUGACUUCAGUGGAGCCUGGAUUUCACCAUGAGUGUGUGUUGCGCCUCAUUAUUUAAAUACUACAUCACUAUUCAUAGCAAACCUGUCAAAAUAAUAAAUAUGUAAAACAAUACAAUAUCCUAAAUAAAUAUCAAUAAACAAAACACCAGUUAAAAAUAGUACAGCGUGCUCAAUAACAGUAAUGAACAACAAAACUCCCACUUCACACCAUACAGUGAGAGCAGCUGAAAAACAGGCAUUUAACAGUGGAAGAGCUAGCAAACUUCCCCAGCAGAACUUUGACUUUCUUUGCUCGACAGGAGAAACUCAUAUUUGAAGUCAUCUCUAAUAAAUGAGACUCUGUUUGGUUCAAACGUUGUAGUGCAACUCUUCAGAUUUUUCUCUCUGACCAAUGUGAAUGAAAUGGUUGCAGAGUAAGAACUCCUGUGCAUAAUCUAUAGAGAUUUGCUCUUAUAGAGGACUCUACACUUGCUCCAGUGCCCACUGAAGUUAAUGGAAAGACUCCAGAGAGCCCAAUUAGACUGGGUUGAGCCCAGUUAGAUAUUGACCUGCCAUGACUCUUGAAAUACAUAGAAAUGUUAUUCUGGUCAGUCUCUCUCUCUUUUUCUCUACAUUCUCUCCUAUGUGCUAUACAUAGUUGGACAGUUAGUAUAUUUAAAUGAUUAUACCAGAGUACACUACUCCUUGUGCCAAAUUUGAAAUAUGUGCCCAAUCCAUGGUGCAUGCACAUCAAUAACAAUGCUAAGUAUAUGACCUUUCAUUGAGAUUGUUUGUUUGUUUUUAUUGCAUUGCAAUUCUGUGUUGAAAUAUUGCAAUAGUUAUCUUAAUUGUGGGGCCUCAGUGGAAAAACAAAAACAAAAAAACAAUGUUUAUGAUUUAUUUCGUAACACCAGCUGGUGCAUGGAUCCAGAAUAAAUGCAAUUGCUUUGUGCGAGCAAUUGUAUACAGUCUUGACUGCAUGUUUUUGGUACAGUACGUACUGUGACUUAGGAGAAAUGAUCACAUACUUUUCCACAGGAGAAGUUGUUUUUCUCUGAAACUUAAUUUGGAGCUGACAAGUGUGGCUUAGCACAUGGAAGAUCUUUUAAUAUAUUUCUGGAUAUAAAAAACUGCAUUCAGUGUCUGUGCUACUUUUUUAACUGAAACUUUUCUUCCAUAGGAACCUACUGAAUCUCUAGGGAAACCUUAGCAGUAAGGUAGUAACAGUAACCAACCCCCUGACGGCAGGAGUUGGAAUUUCUUGGCACACAUCUCCCAUGAUCAGUAAUGGGAUGCGAUAUGAUUGCCGAAAACCAGGGAGCCAAUGAGCAUUUUCCUAGUAGAAGCAGGUGGUAGAUGCUGCAGCUGGAAUUUUUUUCUAAUUGCUGGAAUUUGGGGCUCAUGCAACCAGAAAAGAUAUUCGAGUAAAGAGACUCUGGAAAUACACCUAAAAAUGAGUCUAAAUGAGAAGUUGAGUAACAUUAACAUACUCUUCUUAAACUGUCCUCUCUGAAAGGUUGGAACUGAAUCAUUUUGAGGUAUUGUUUUACUUUCUGUUGUAAAGGUACUUAAUUCUAAUUCAUUAGGCUUAUCAAAUGAAUUGACUUUGUAUUGUUUAGUAGCAUUUAUUGUAACUGUUCCACCCAGAUUAGUUGUACUUUAGAAGCUAAUCCUUAUUGCAGUGCAUUGCUUCAAAAAAAACCAAAAAAAAAACCCCCCACAAACCGCCCCUGACAAAACACCUAAAACUAACCCUGAAACUUACACUGAUUUGAUUACAUGAAGACCCAGUAUGUGCAUGUGCCUUUUGGAUACUUCCACAGUACAAGAGAACUGUUCAGUUUCCCUUGCGAGGCUCAGUAAAUUUGGCAGGUGGGGGUCUUUUUUUUUUUUUUGCCUACUGCUGCAGCAAAGAUUAGAGCUUCUUUGCGCAUGUGAUUUAUGGGGAAGGGUUUAAACACUGUAGAGGAAAUUGUUAGUCAUUGAUACCAAAUGAAACAACUCUCAAGGCGUGUUACAAUUUGUAAAGACCCAGCAGCCUUAACUGACCCUUAAAAACCCUUUAAUCCUGUUGCUCCCAGAGCCCAGGUUGUGUGUUCAUAAUAGAAACAAGCUUGGUGUUUUUGGCACAUUCUGUGUUCAAGAAGAAAAAUAUUUACUUAAUGUGGGUCUGAUUUAGCAACUGCUUCUUGUAAUGCCUGUCAAAACACUAUAAAAAUUUACUCCAUAUCCAGUACUCUCUAGAGACAUAUCGUUGAGCUGACAUGGAUAUAGUACAUGCUUUCUCCUCUAAGAGCAUGUCUAGGUCAAGGUCAUUAUUGUGUUAUUGUGAGUAACUAACAAUAGUGCAACUUUCACUAGACUUUAUAGAAUAUUUUAUUGCUAGUCUUGAAAAAUCUUUUAACAGUAAAUAUCUGAAGGUAAAACUAAAUAUUUACCAUGCUAAAUAGACUGUUACACCAACAGAGAAUGUCCAAUUAUUACCACUGAAAUCGAAGAGACACUUGAGAUGAAGUUGACCCAGUAUCUAGAUGAUAUUAAGUUUAAAUUUUCUCUGUCAUGUUCAGUACAAUAGUCCUUGUUACUGUGAGUUUUCACAGGAUUAGAUUCAUUGACUUCAACUACAAAUAAUUUGGCUUUAUUAAUGAAAAAAUAUUUCACUAAGGUGAGUCAUAUAUUAUGCUUAUUUCUAUAGGGAAGGCAUGUCCUUUUGAUAAACAGUCUCAGUUGCUGUACAGUGGUUAAGGAUAUCCUGUUCAUUAGCUGUCCAGAGUUCAGUGUGGAGUUCUACAUUGGAAGUGGUAGCCAAUGCA